rnacentral:rRNA from 1 species
AACGAACGCUGGCGGCAUGCCUAACACAUGCAAGUCGAACGGCAGCACAGUCUAGCUUGCUAGACGGGUGGCGAGUGGCGAACGGGUGAGUAACGCGUAGGAAUAUACCUUGAAGUGGGGGACAACCUGGGGAAACUCAGGCUAAUACCGCGUAAUCUCUUCGGAGGGAAGCUGGGGACCGCAAGGCCUGGCGCUUUAAGAUUAGCCUGCGUCCGAUUAGCUAGUUGGUGGGGUAAAGGCCUACCAAGGCGACGAUCGGUAGCUGGUCUGAGAGGAUGAUCAGCCACACUGGGACUGAGAAACGGCCCAGACUCCUACGGGAGGCAGCAGUGGGGAAUAUUGGACAAUGGGGGGAACCCUGAUCCAGCAAUGCCGCGUGUGUGAAGAAGGCCUGAGGGUUGUAAAGCACUUUCGGCGGGGAGGAGGUUGAGUUGGUUAAGAGCUGACUUAUUGGACGUUACCCGCAUAAGAAGCACCGGCUAACUCCGUGCCAGCAGCCGCGGUAACAC